UACGUAGGAGGCAAGCGUUGUCCGGAAUUACUGGGCGUAAAGCGCGUGUAGGUGGUGGGACAAGUCUGCUGUGAAAGCGCCUGGCUUAACCGGGCGAGGUCGGCGGAAACUGUCCGACUAGAGGACGGUAGAGGGGGGUGGAAUUCCCGGUGUAGUGGUGAAAUGCGUAGAGAUCGGGAGGACACCUGUGGCGAAGGCGGCCCCCUGGGCCGGCCCCUGACACUGAGACGCGAAGGCGUGGGGGAGCGAACGGGG
rnacentral:rRNA from 1 species